rnacentral:rRNA from 1 species
AAACUGGGAUUAGAUACCCCACUAUGCUUAGCCCUAAACUAAAAUAGCUUACCACAACAAAGCUAUUCGCCAGAGUACUACUAGCAACAGCCUAAAACUCAAAGGACUUGGCGGUGCUUUACAUCCCUCUAGAGGAGCCUGUUCCAUAAUCGAUAAACCCCGAUAAACCCCACCAUCCCUUGCUAAUUCAGCCUAUAUACCGCCAUCUUCAGCAAACCCUAAACAAGGUACCGAAGUAAGCACAAAUAUCCAACAUAAAAACGUUAGGUCAAGGUGUAGCCCAUGGGAUGGAGAGAAAUGGGCUACAUUUUCUACCCUAAGAACAAGAACUUUAACCCGGACGAAAGUCUCCAUGAAACUGGAGACUAAAGGAGGAUUUAGCAGUAAAUUAAGAAUAGAGAGCUUAAUUGAAUCAGGCCAUGAAGCGCGCACACACCGCCCGUCACCCUC